UUUGGCUAAGGUAAGUAACAGUUUUUUGUUUAUCUUCUUCACUCCUGCUUCUGUUUAAAUAUUUGAAUUUGAUCGGAUAUUGUUGGACAUAUGCAGGCAAAUGCUGUCUUCGGGCGUUUACGUCCGAGGCAUAUCAAUGGUGAAAUCGAGGAGGAUUUUUUGAGACAGGAUAACCAUAUGCUGAAGGCAACCCUGGCUCGGGAAAGAAGCGAUCACGAGGGCGUUCUUCAUACCAAUGAAGGCCUUCGGAAAGACCUAGAUCGAGCUAUAAUGGACUUGAA
rnacentral:lncRNA from 1 species